AAGAUGAUCAGGUUGAUAGGUCUGAGGUGGAAGCGUGGUGACACGUGGAGCUGACAGAUACUAAUAGAUCGAGGACUUAACCUA
rnacentral:rRNA from 1 species